ACCAUGCAGUCGAGCGGUAGCAGGAGGAAGCUGGCUUUCUCCGGUGACGAGCGGCGGGCGGGUGAGUUGUGUGUGGGGCUGUGCGUGAUGGGGGGGGAUAACUAGUGGAAACGGUAGCUAAUACCGCAUAACGUCACGAGACCAAUGUGGGGGAUCUUCGGGCCUCGUGCUCUCAUAUGAACCCAUAUGGUUUUAGCUAGUGUGUGAGGUAGUGGCUCCCCUGCGCCAAUAUCCCUAUGUGGUCUGAGAGGGUGACCACCCACUGUGGAUGUGACACACGGCCCACACUCCUACGGGGGGCAACUGUGGGGAAUAUUGCACAGUGGGCGCACGCGUGAUGCACCCGUGCCGCGUGUAUGAAAAACGCCUUCGGUUUGUAAAGUUUUUUCAAUAGGGAAGAGGGUGUGCGUGUUAAUAACACGUGCUUUUGAUUUUCCCUACAAAAAAAACCCCGGAUAUCUCCGUGCCAGCACCCGCGAAUAUACAGAGGGUGCACGCUAUACUCGGAUUUACUGGGCAUAACGCACACGCGCGCUGUGUGUUGAGUUGGAUGUGAUCUCCCCGGUCUUCAUGUGGACUGUGCAUACGACAGUGACACUCUAGACUCUCAGAGAGAGAGGUAGAUUUCCGUGUGUCGCGGAAAAUGCAUAGAUAUCUGGAAAAUACCGGUGGCGAGCGGGUCUCGUGCAAAACACUGACUCUCGUGUGAAAAGCGUGGAGAGCACACGAGUAUAUAUACUGUGAUACUCCACGCUGUAAACGAUGUCGAUUUGGAGGUUGUGCCCUUGAGGCGUGGCUUCCGAAGCUAACGCGUUAAAUCGACCGCCUGGGGAGUACGGCCGCAAGGUUAAAACUCAAAUGAAUUGACGGGGGCCCGCACAAGCGGUGGAGCAUGUGGUUUAAUUCGAUGCAACGCGAAGAACCUUACCUACUCUUGACAUCCAGCGAAUCCUGUAGAGAUACGGGAGUGCCUUCGGGAACGCUGAGACAGGUGCUGCAUGGCUGUCGUCAGCUCGUGUUGUGAAAUGUUGGGUUAAGUCCCGCAACGAGCGCAACCCUUAUCCUUUGUUGCCAGCGGUUCGGCCGGGAACUCAAAGGAGACUGCCAGUGAUAAACUGGAGGAAGGUGGGGAUGACGUCAAGUCAUCAUGGCCCUUACGAGUAGGGCUACACACGUGCUACAAUGGCGUAUACAAAGAGAAGCGACCUCGCGAGAGCAAGCGGACCUCAUAAAGUACGUCGUAGUCCGGAUUGGAGUCUGCAACUCGACUCCAUGAAGUCGGAAUCGCUAGUAAUCGUGGAUCAGAAUGCCACGGUGAAUACGUUCCCGGGCCUUGUACACACCGCCCGUCACACCAUGGGAGUGGGUUGCAAAAGAAGUAGGUAGCUUAACCUUCGGGAGGGCGCUACCACUU
rnacentral:rRNA from 1 species